UACCUCUAGUAGUUGAAGCUGCCAGCAUGAUCUGAGCUUUCCUUAAUACUCAUCGAUCCUACCCUAUCCAGAGAGGAGGGAUUAGAUCAUGUGGCAGUUUCACCUGUUAAUGGU
rnacentral:pre_miRNA from 1 species